rnacentral:rRNA from 1 species
GAUGAACGCUGGCGGCGUGCCUAAUACAUGCCAGUCGAGCGAACAGAUGAGGAGCCUGCUCCUCUGACGUUAGCGGCGGACGGGUGAGUAACACGUGGAUAACCUACCUAUAAGACUGGGAUAACUUCGGGAAACCGGAGCUAAUACCGGAUAAUAUAUUGAACCGCAUGGUUCAAUAGUGAAAGACGGUUUUGCUGUCACUUAUAGAUGGAUCCGCGCCGCAUUAGCUAGUUGGUAAGGUAACGGCUUACCAAGGCAACGAUGCGUAGCCGACCUGAGAGGGUGAUCGGCCACACUGGAACUGAGACACGGUCCAGACUCCUACGGGAGGCAGCAGUAGGGAAUCUUCCGCAAUGGGCGAAAGCCUGACGGAGCAACGCCGCGUGAGUGAUGAAGGUCUUCGGAUCGUAAAACUCUGUUAUUAGGGAAGAACAAAUGUGUAAGUAACUAUGCACGUCUUGACGGUACCUAAUCAGAAAGCCACGGCUAACUACGUG